rnacentral:rRNA from 1 species
GACGAACGCUGGCGGCGUGCCUAAUACAUGCAAGUCGAACGAGAGCAACCGGUGCUUGCACUGGUCAAUCUAGUGGCGAACGGGUGAGUAACACGUGGGUAACCUGCCCAUCAGAGGGGGAUAACAUCCGGAAACGGAUGCUAAAACCGCAUAGGUCUUCGAACCGCAUGGUUUGAAGAGGAAAAGAGGCGCAAGCUUCUGCUGAUGGAUGGACCCGCGGUGCAUUAGCUAGUUGGUGAGGUAACGGCUCACCAAGGCCGUGAUGCAUAGCCGACCUGAGAGGGUGAUCGGCCACAUUGGGACUGAGACACGGCCCAAACUCCUACGGGAGGCAGCAGUAGGGAAUCUUCCGCAAUGGGCGAAAGUCUGACGGAGCAACGCCGCGUGAGUGAAGAAGGUUUUCGGAUCGUAAAACUCUGUUGUUAGAGAAGAACAAGUGCUAGAGUAACUGUUAGCGCCUUGACGGUAUCUAACCAGAAAGCCACGGCUAACUACGUG